UACGGAGGAUCCGAGCGUUAUCCGGAUUUAUUGGGUUUAAAGGGAGCGUAGGCGGGUUGUUAAGUCAGUUGUGAAAGUUUGCGGCUCAACCGUAAAAUUGCAGUUGAUACUGGCAUCCUUGAGUACAGUAGAGGUAGGCGGAAUUCGUGGUGUAGCGGUGGAAUGCUUAGAUAUCACGAAGAACUCCGAUUGCGAAGGCAGCCUGCUGGACUGUAACUGACGCUGAUGCUCGAAAGUGUGGGUAUCAAACAGG
rnacentral:rRNA from 1 species